CUUGGUCAUUUAGAGGAAGUAAAAGUCGUAACAAGGUCUCCGUAGGUGAACCUGCGGAGGGAUCAUUAUCAAGUGAUGUGCCCUCGUGGCUCUACCCUUUGAAACUGUGGAAGGGAAGUCUGCCUUGGCGCCAUUAGGCGUCAGAUUUAUGCCUAAAGUAAGUUUGGCUCUGAACUAGAGAUGAAAUGAAAACUUUCAACAAAGGAUCUCUUGGCUCUCGCAUCGAUGAAGAACGCAGCAAAACGCGAAAUGUAGUGUGAAUUGCAGAACCUUGUGAAUCAUCGAAUCUUUGAACGCACAUUGCGCCCCCUGUAACAAGGAGGCAUGCCUGUCUGAGCGUCUUUGAUACCCAUAGGCUUUUUGAGUCUGUGUUGGGCCUCGCCAUGGAGGGCGUAGCCUAAAAGGAAUUGCCACGAGGCGGAAGAAGUCCGAUAGGAGCUGCCGCUUUGAAAGCUUUUUGUGUAUGGACCUCAGAUCAGGUAGGACCACCGCCUGAACUUAAGCAUAUCAAUAAGCGGAGGA
rnacentral:rRNA from 1 species